UUACUAACGACGAUAUGCUUUGGGGAGCUGUAAGUAAGCUUUGAUCCAGAGAUUUCCGAAUGGGGAAACCCAGCAUGAGUUAUGUCAUGUUAUCGAUAUGUGAAUACAUAGCAUAUCAGAAGGCACACCCGGAGAACUGAAACAUCUUAGUACCCGGAGGAAGAGAAAGAAAAUUCGAUUCCCUUAGUAGCGGCGAGCGAAACGGGAAGAGCCCAAACCAACAAGCUUGCUUGUUGGGGUUGUAGGACACUCUAUACGGAGUUACAAAGGACGACAUUAGACGAAUCAUCUGGAAAGAUGAAUCAAAGAAGGUAAUAAUCCUGUAGUCGAAAAUGUUGUCUCUCUUGAGUGGAUCCUGAGUACGACGGAGCACGUGAAAUUCCGUCGGAAUCUGGGAGGACCAUCUCCUAAGGCUAAAUACUCUCUAGUGACCGAUAGUGAACCAGUACCGUGAGGGAAAGGUGAAAAGCACCCCGGAAGGGGAGUGAAAUAGAACCUGAAACCGUGUGCUUACAAGUAGUCAGAGCCCGUUAAUGGGUGAUGGCGUGCCUUUUGUAGAAUGAACCGGCGAGUUACGAUUUGAUGCAAGGUUAAGCAGUAAAUGUGGAGCCGUAGCGAAAGCGAGUCUGAAUAGGGCGUUUAGUAUUUGGUCGUAGACCCGAAACCAGGUGAUCUACCCUUGGUCAGGUUGAAGUUCAGGUAACACUGAAUGGAGGACCGAACCGACUUACGUUGAAAAGUGAGCGGAUGAACUGAGGGUAGCGGAGAAAUUCCAAUCGAACCUGGAGAUAGCUGGUUCUCUCCGAAAUAGCUUUAGGGCUAGCCUCAAGUGAUGAUUAUUGGAGGUAGAGCACUGUUUGGACGAGGGGCCCCUCUCGGGUUACCGAAUUCAGACAAACUCCGAAUGCCAAUUAAUUUAACUUGGGAGUCAGAACAUGGGUGAUAAGGUCCGUGUUCGAAAGGGAAACAGCCCAGACCACCAGCUAAGGUCCCAAAAUAUAUGUUAAGUGGAAAAGGAUGUGGCGUUGCCCAGACAACUAGGAUGUUGGCUUAGAAGCAGCCAUCAUUUAAAGAGUGCGUAAUAGCUCACUAGUCGAGUGACACUGCGCCGAAAAUGUACCGGGGCUAAACAUAUUACCGAAGCUGUGGAUUGUCCUUUGGACAAUGGUAGGAGAGCGUUCUAAGGGCGUUGAAGCAUGAUCGUAAGGACAUGUGGAGCGCUUAGAAGUGAGAAUGCCGGUGUGAGUAGCGAAAGACGGGUGAGAAUCCCGUCCACCGAUUGACUAAGGUUUCCAGAGGAAGGCUCGUCCGCUCUGGGUUAGUCGGGUCCUAAGCUGAGGCCGACAGGCGUAGGCGAUGGAUAACAGGUUGAUAUUCCUGUACCACCUAUAAUCGUUUUAAUCGAUGGGGGGACGCAGUAGGAUAGGCGAAGCGUGCGAUUGGAUUGCACGUCUAAGCAGUAAGGCUGAGUAUUAGGCAAAUCCGGUACUCGUUAAGGCUGAGCUGUGAUGGGGAGAAGACAUUGUGUCUUCGAGUCGUUGAUUUCACACUGCCGAGAAAAGCCUCUAGAUAGAAAAUAGGUGCCCGUACCGCAAACCGACACAGGUAGUCAAGAUGAGAAUUCUAAGGUGAGCGAGCGAACUCUCGUUAAGGAACUCGGCAAAAUGACCCCGUAACUUCGGGAGAAGGGGUGCUCUUUAGGGUUAACGCCCAGAAGAGCCGCAGUGAAUAGGCCCAAGCGACUGUUUAUCAAAAACACAGGUCUCUGCUAAACCGUAAGGUGAUGUAUAGGGGCUGACGCCUGCCCGGUGCUGGAAGGUUAAGAGGAGUGGUUAGCUUCUGCGAAGCUACGAAUCGAAGCCCCAGUAAACGGCGGCCGUAACUAUAACGGUCCUAAGGUAGCGAAAUUCCUUGUCGGGUAAGUUCCGACCCGCACGAAAGGCGUAACGAUUUGGGCACUGUCUCAACGAGAGACUCGGUGAAAUCAUAGUACCUGUGAAGAUGCAGGUUACCCGCGACAGGACGGAAAGACCCCGUGGAGCUUUACUGUAGCCUGAUAUUGAAAUUCGGCACAGCUUGUACAGGAUAGGUAGGAGCCUUUGAAACGUGAGCGCUAGCUUACGUGGAGGCGCUGGUGGGAUACUACCCUAGCUGUGUUGGCUUUCUAACCCGCACCACUUAUCGUGGUGGGAGACAGUGUCAGGCGGGCAGUUUGACUGGGGCGGUCGCCUCCUAAAAGGUAACGGAGGCGCUCAAAGGUUCCCUCAGAAUGGUUGGAAAUCAUUCAUAGAGUGUAAAGGCAUAAGGGAGCUUGACUGCGAGACCUACAAGUCGAGCAGGGUCGAAAGACGGACUUAGUGAUCCGGUGGUUCCGCAUGGAAGGGCCAUCGCUCAACGGAUAAAAGCUACCCCGGGGAUAACAGGCUUAUCUCCCCCAAGAGUUCACAUCGACGGGGAGGUUUGGCACCUCGAUGUCGGCUCAUCGCAUCCUGGGGCUGUAGUCGGUCCCAAGGGUUGGGCUGUUCGCCCAUUAAAGCGGUACGCGAGCUGGGUUCAGAACGUCGUGAGACAGUUCGGUCCCUAUCCGUCGUGGGCGUAGGAAAUUUGAGAGGAGCUGUCCUUAGUACGAGAGGACCGGGAUGGACAUACCUCUGGUGUACCAGUUGUCGUGCCAACGGCAUAGCUGGGUAGCUAUGUGUGGACGGGAUAAGUGCUGAAAGCAUCUAAGCAUGAAGCCCCCCUCAAGAUGAGAUUUCCCAACUUCGGUUAUAAGAUCCCUCAAAGAUGAUGAGGUUAAUAGGUUCGAGGUGGAAGCAUGGUGACAUGUGGAGCUGACGAAUACUAAUCGAUCGAAGACUUAAUCAA
rnacentral:rRNA from 1 species